AACGUAAGAUGACUGUAGGUGAAAGCUUACAUCUCUUCGGAGCAUUUUACGAGGUGCUGCAUGGUUGUCGUCAGCUCGUGCCGUGAGGUGUCGGGUUAAGUCCCAUAACGAGCGCAACCCUACCUUUAGUUGCCAUCAGGUUAAGCUGGGGACUCUAAAGGAACUGCCUACGCAAGUAGUGAGGAAGGCGGGGAUGACGUCAAAUCAGCACGGCCCUUACGUCCAGGGCUACACACGUGCUACAAUGGCCGAUACAGAGGGCAGCGACACUGCGAGGUGAAGCCAAUCCCGUAAAAUCGGUCUCAGUCCGGAUUGGAGUCUGCAACUCGACUCCAUGAAGUUGGAAUCGCUAGUAAUCGUGGAUCAGCAUGCCACGGUGAAUACGUUCCCGGGCCUU
rnacentral:rRNA from 1 species